rnacentral:rRNA from 1 species
GACGAACGCUGGCGGCGUGCCUAAUACAUGCAAGUAGAACGCUGAAGGAGGAGCUUGCUUCUCUGGAUGAGUUGCGAACGGGUGAGUAACGCGUAGGUAACCUGCCUGGUAGCGGGGGAUAACUAUUGGAAACGAUAGCUAAUACCGCAUAACAGUAGAUAUCGCAUGAUAGCUGCUUGAAAGGUGCAAUUGCACCACUACCAGAUGGACCUGCGUUGUAUUAGCUAGUUGGUGAGGUAACGGCUCACCAAGGCGACGAUACAUAGCCGACCUGAGAGGGUGAUCGGCCACACUGGGACUGAGACACGGCCCAGACUCCUACGGGAGGCAGCAGUAGGGAAUCUUCGGCAAUGGACGGAAGUCUGACCGAGCAACGCCGCGUGAGUGAAGAAGGUUUUCGGAUCGUAAAGCUCUGUUGUAAGAGAAGAACGAGUGUGAGAGUGGAAAGUUCACACUGUGACGGUAUCUUACCAGAAAGGGACGGCUAACUACGUGCCAGCAGCCGCGGUAAUACGUAGGUCCCGAGCGUUGUCCGGAUUUAUUGGGCGUAAGGCGAGCGCAGGCGGUUAGAUAAGUCUGAAGUUAAAGGCUGUGGCUUAACCAUAAUACGCUUUGGAAACUGUUUAACUUGAGUGCAAGAGGGGAGAGUGGAAUUCCAUGUGUAGCGGUGAAAUGCGUAGAUAUAUGGAGGAACACCGGUGGCGAAAGCGGCUCUCUGGCUUGUAACUGACGCUGAGGCUCGAAAGCGUGGGGAGCAAACAGG